GGAGGAUUGUGGGCCUGGCUUGUGGCAUUGCUGUGCCUGAUGAUUACCGUAUCUGCUGUUAUUGUUUGCUGCUGAUAUUGUGGGAUCAUGAUGUUGUGGGAAAAGAAGAAAAAAAUGAGAAGUUAUUUCAGUGCCACAUCUCUGAUCUUAAAUAGGUGAUCUUGACUUCCAUGGCUACUUGAUCAAACCAAUUUCUUUGAGAAAGCUUCUAUCAGCAAGAAGAUAUUACAAUGUGCUUGAUAACAUCUGCAGUGCUGACAGUAGCAACACUCUCCCUGCUAACCACCCCCAAGAACAUGACAUCUCCAGCAGUAGUUUUCAGGCUGUUAUCAUAACAGCAUUAGUUUUGCGUGCCCUGCUAUAUGGGACAGGGGUAAGGCAUGGUGGGGAGAUGCCCUCAUGCAUGUUUGAGGAUGAAGGGGAAUUUGACUAGUGAGCUGCAGCUCUGAAUGUCAGAGAGAAUGAAGGCAGCAGAACAAAUUACAUCAAUAACUCUAUUUUCUUAAGCUAUUUCAAAGAGAAAGUAUUAAGCUUAACUCCUUUUCAUUACCUGGCUACCUUACAAUGACCUGUGCUUGUCAAAAAAAGCUAAUUACAGUGGAAAAUUAUUGCACUUGUGUGACAUUUGUAAUGCAGCCUUGCAGUAGACUAUUCAAAAAAAAAAAUCUGCAUUUAUGCAGAUAGUUAAUAUUUUGCAUUUACUAAUGUACAGAUUUAAAAGCUGUAUGGAAGCAUAAAAAAUGUUCAACUGCCAAAUUUGGUUAUUUUCCUGUUUUGGAAGAAUUUUAUGGUCUCCCACUGAGAUAAUGUUGAAAAUCUCUACUUUAACCCUGAAAAACAGAUGGUAGCAUUUUUAAGAAAGAGGAAUUUUUCAUUUUCAUAGGGACAAAAACAGAUGUAGGAAAGACUUGGUCUAUUUAAUUUCAUGUAACAGCUAUGUAUUUAAGUGAAAAAUAGUGGAGCAGAGGGCAUAGUCAUUAGAGCUUUGUGAAUUGGAUGUACUUUCAAUGUGUGGAAAUCAUUUAAUUUCACGUUGCAUUGUGGAAAAACAUUGCUCUC